UACCAGCACCCCGAGUGGUCGGGACGUUUAUUGGGCCUAAAAGCAUCCGUAGCCGGUUCUACAAGUCUUCCGUUAAAUCCACCUGCUUAACAGAUGGGCUGCGGAAGAUACUAUAGAGCUAGGAGGCGGGAGAGGCAAGCGGUACUCGAUGGGUAGGGGUAAAAUCCGUUGAUCCAUUGAAGACCACCAGUGGCGAAGGCGGCUUGCCAAGAACGCGCUCGACGGUGAGGGAUGAAAGCUGGGGGAGCAAACCGG
rnacentral:rRNA from 1 species